rnacentral:lncRNA from 1 species
GCUUUACUGCAGUUACUGACAUUGCCGGAGGGUACGCGGCGUGGACUCAGAAUGGGCUUCCAACGGAAUGAUGAUGAUGAUGUUGGAGGCAGGGAAUAAAGUUGGUGAUACAAUAAUAAAGCUUGGAAGACAAAAAACUAGAAAGAUCUCAAGUGUAAAGAAAAAAAAAUGUCGCAUAUUAGUGUAGUUGGCAGCCACAGAAUGACCAGAAAGUAUGUGAAUAUGAAUGUGACUGUUUGGUUGUUGUUCUGUAUGGAAAAGGAAACAAAGAAACAAACAAAUAAUAGAUGAAUGGAAC